rnacentral:rRNA from 1 species
AUACGGAGGGUGCAAGCGUUAAUCGGAAUUACUGGGCGUAAAGCGUUCGUAGGCGGUUUGUUAAGUUAGAUGUGAAAGCCCCGGGCUCAACCUGGGAACUGCAUUUAAAACUGGCAAACUCGAGUUUAGGAGAGGGAAGUGGAAUUUCAGGUGUAGCAGUGAAAUGCGUAGAGAUCUGAAGGAACACCAGUGGCGAAGGCGACUUCCUGGACUAAAACUGACGCUGAGGAACGAAAGCGUGGGUAGCAAACGGGAUUAGAUACCCCGGUAGUCC